UACAGUGAUUUGCGAAAAGGUCUACG
rnacentral:piRNA from 1 species